UCUGUUCCUGGAUCAGUGAUCUACCCUGUCACCCUGAACCAUUAUAGGGAGGUAGUAUCUGUUCCUGGUCAGUGAUCUACCCUGUCACCCUGAACCAUUAUAGGGAGGUAGUAUCUGUUCCUGGGUCAGUGAUCUACCCUGUCACCCUGAACCAUUAUAGGGAGGUAGUAUCUGUUCCUGGGUCAGUGAUCUACCCUGUCACCCUGAACCAUUAUAGGGAGGUAGUAUCUGUUCCUGGGUCAGUGUUCUACCCUGUCACCCUGAACCAUUAUAGGGAGGUAGUAUCUGUUCCUGGAUCAGUGAUCUACCCUGUCACCCUGAACCAUUAUAGGGAGGUAGUAUCUGUUCCUGGGUCAGUGAUCUACCCUGUCACCCUGAACCAUUAUAGGGAGGUAGUAUCUGGGGGGACGACAACACCUUCAGUAGUAACGCCUUGGACCAGAGCUACGUCUUCCUCUAGUGUCUCUAAGCCCCCCCCGUCCUGCAUGUUACGUUGUUUACUACAGGACCUGUUGUUACAGUCACCUCUUUUACUUCAUCUUUACCUUGACUUUUCCCAUUGGUUGAUUAUAGUUAUUUUAUUGUUAGUUUGGGGUAGGGGGCGGGGGGCUUGUUCUCUGACAGAUGCACAGCUUUUAUUUCCGCUAUGCUGAUCAAUUAGACAAAUCACCAAUUCUCAGGUGCUGAUUUGGCCCGUAGACUUAAUGAAACGUUUCAGAGGGGUGGAGAGGAGUCACGGCAGUACGUUUUUCAAACCCCCUCCUCCCUCCAGAACUUUAAUUUUGAGCAUCUGACGUCAUUAAAUACACAGGAUUUAACUAAAGGGUGUAACCGUGGUUACAGCUGAACACCUGACCAGGGGCCACGUUCAGUCGCCGAAACGUUGUGAAACGUUGUGAAACGUUGUGAAACGUGAGCAGCUAGAAAUGUCACGGAUAGAGCCGACCACGGUUCCUUAUUCUACGUCUGUCAGAGAGGCGUGUUUCUUCUACAUAACAUAUUUCUACCUGAACGUUUUUCCACACGUUACGUCCCGCUGUAACCGUGGUAACCAUGUCAACACCCCCCCUUCACCGGUCCGACCGGCCAAUCAAACUUUCUGUUGCAUAUUCUAGAAAACAUAUAUCUAUGCUAUAUCCCUUUUUAUUGUUCAGCUCAAACGGCAUCCUGUUCCCUAGGUAACACUACUACUGGCCAGAGGGUCAGCCACCAUCCUGUUCCCUAGGUAA